rnacentral:rRNA from 1 species
UACGAAGGGGGCUAGCGUUGCUCGGAAUCACUGGGCGUAAAGGGUGCGUAGGCGGCGCGGUAAGUCGGGUGUGAAAUCUUGGAGCUUAACUCCGAAACUGCAUUCGAUACUGCCGUGCUUGAGGACUGGAGAGGAGACUGGAAUUUACGGUGUAGCGGUGAAAUGCGUAGAUAUCGUAAGGAAGACCAGUGGCGAAGGCAAUCCCCUGGGCCUGCACUGACGCUCAUGCACGAAAGCGUGGGGAGCAAACAGG